rnacentral:rRNA from 1 species
GUGUGGCCCCGAAGGAUAGCUAGGGUCCCAAGUGUGGCCCCCAAGGAAAGCUAAGGUCCCAGGUCUGGCCCCGAAGGAUAGCUAAGGUCCCUAAAUUGAUACUAAGUGAUAAAGGAUGUGGAGUUGCAAAGACAACUGGGAUGUUGGCUUAGAAGCAGCCAUCAUUUAAAGAAAGCGUAACAGCUCACCAGUCAAGUGAUUUUGCGCCGACAAUUUAUCGGGGCUCAAGCUUACCACCGAAGCUGCGGGAUUGUCAGGCCCUUUGGGUUUGAUGAUCGGUAGGGGAGUAUUCUACAUUAGGUUGAAGGUCGACCGUGAGGCCGACUGGACGAGGUAGAAGAGAUCAUGCCGGUACGAGUAGCGAUAAAAGGGGUGAGAAUCCCCUUCACCGAAAGCCUAAGGUUUCCUGAGGAAGGAUCGUCCACUCAGGGUUAGUCGGACCCUAAGCCGAGGCCGAAAGGCGUAGGCGAUGGAAAACAGGUCAAAAUUCCUGUACCGCUAAAUAGGCGACUAAGACGCGAUGGGGGAACGCAGAAGUGAAAGGUCAGCCAGCGACUGGAAAUGCUGGUCCAAGCCAGUAGGAGGUCCACGUAGGCAAAUCCGCGAGGGCAAUACUCCGAGAGGCGAGUGGGAAACGAGCCUUCGGGCAAGCCAACUGACCCUAAUCAUGCUGCCAAGAAAAGCCUCUAAGCGAGUCUGUUUAGCGACCGUACCGCAAACCGACACAGGUAGGCAGGUAGAGAAUACUAAGGUGCGCGAGUGAGUCCUCGUUAAGGAACUAGGCAAUCUAGCUCCGUAACUUUGGGAGAAGGAGUGCCCCUACGUAGGUGAUCCCUCUUGCAGGGUGAGCCAAACGGGGUCGCAGUGACCAGGCCCAAGCGACUGUUUACUAAAAACACAGGUCUCUGCUAAGUCGUAAGACGAUGUAUAGGGACUGACACCUGCCCGGUGCCGGAAGGUUAAAGGGCGAGGUUAGCCUUCGGGCGAAGCUUCAAACUGAAGCCCCGGUAAACGGCGGCCGUAACUAUAACGGUCCUAAGGUAGCGAAAUUCCUUGUCGGGUAAGUUCCGACCUGCACGAAUGGUGUAACGACUUGGGCGCUGUCUCAACGAGGAGCUCGGCGAAACUGUAGCUCCGGUGAAGAUGCCGGAUACCCGCGACAGGACGGAAAGACCCCGUGAACCUUUACUGUAGCUUGAUAUUGGGUUUCGUCAAUUCAUGUGUAGGAUAGGUGGGAGGCUUUGAAACAGGGGCGCUAGCUUCUGUGGAGCCAACCUUGAAAUACCACCCUUGUAUUGUUGGAAUUCUAACUUCAUCCCGUGAAUCCGGGUGAAGAACAGUGUCAGGUAGGCAGUUUGACUGGGGCGGUCGCCUCCCAAAAUGUAACGGAGGCGCCCGAAGGUCCUCUCAGGCUGAAUGGAAACCAGCCGUCGAGUGUAAAGGCACAAGAGGGCUUGACUGCGAGACCUACAAGUCAAGCAGGUGGGAAACCAGGGCUUAGUGAUCCGGCGGUUCUGUGUGGAAAGGCCGUCGCUCAACGGAUAAAAGGUACGCCGGGGAUAACAGGCUUAUCUCCCCCAAGAGUUCACAUCGACGGGGAGGUUUGGCACCUCGAUGUCGGCUCUCCGCAUCCUGGGGCUGAAGCAGGUCCCAAGGGUUUGUCUGUUCG